UUGCUCGGGGCUGCGAUGCCCCUUAGGUUGCGGGCAACCAGAGGCCUCACUCGUGGGCAGGAAGCAAGGGCGGACCCCGAGAGAUGACUGAUUGUGGGGGUGGGGACCGUCUGCUCCUCCUAAUGGCUGGGGACCGUGCACGUCUGCGCGGGCCGGACCUGCUCUUCUCGGGAACUUGCGCGGGAGGAGGCCCGGAGCUGCGCCGCUUUACCCUCUGCUCCCCGGUGCCUAAAACGCACACGCAUCAAAGUCACAGGACGAGUUAGAGGCAGCGGUGUGAUGGCAUGAUCACAGCUCACUGCAACCACCGCCUCCCAAGCU
rnacentral:lncRNA from 1 species